rnacentral:rRNA from 1 species
CGGCAGCCCGAGUGGUGAUCACUAUUAUUGGGUCUAAAGGGUCCGUAGCCGGUUUGAUCAGUCUUUUGGGAAAUCUGACAGCUUAACUGUUAGGCUUCCAAAGGAUACUGUCAGACUUGGGACCGGGAGAGGUAAGAGGUACUACAGGGGUAGGAGUGAAAUCUUGUAAUCCCUGUGGGACCACCAGUGGCGAAGGCGUCUUACUAGAACGGGUCCGACGGUGAGGGACGAAAGCUGGGGGCACGAACCGGAUUAGAUACCCGAGUAGUCC